AACUAAACUAUUUUCUG
rnacentral:tRNA from 3 species